AUGAACGCUGGCGGCGUGCCUAAUACAUGCAAGUCGAGCGAACAGACGAGGAGCUUGCUCCUCUGACGUUAGCGGCGGACGGGUGAGUAACACGUGGAUAACCUACCUAUAAGACUGGGAUAACUUCGGGAAACCGGAGCUAAUACCGGAUAAUAUAUUGAACCGCAUGGUUCAAUAGUGAAAGACGGUUUUGCUGUCAAUUAUAGAUGGAUCCGCGCCGCAUUAGCUAGUUGGUAAGGUAACGGCUUACCAAGGCAACGAUGCGUAGCCGACCUGAGAGGGUGAUCGGCCACACUGGAACUGAGACACGGUCCAGACUCCUACGGGAGGCAGCAGUAGGGAAUCUUCCGCAAUGGGCGAAAGCCUGACGGAGCAACGCCGCGUGAGUGAUGAAGGUCUUCGGAUCGUAAAACUCUGUUAUUAGGGAAGAACAAAUGUGUAAGUAACUAUGCACGUCUUGACGGUACCUAAUCAGAAAGCCACGGCUAACUACGUG
rnacentral:rRNA from 1 species